rnacentral:rRNA from 1 species
CAGGAAACGAGCCCUGCACGGAUGGACGGCUCGUCGGCGGAGGUGGCGAAGGUGAAGCGGGCGAAGACCGUCUUGACGGUGGCGGCGAUCUCCGGCUCCCUCCGCCGGGCCUCGGCCAACGCCGGCCUCAUCCGCGCCGCCGCCAAGAUGUGCGAGGAGUCCAUCCCGGGGCUGCAGAUCGACCACGUCGACAUCUCCGACCUGCCGCUCCUUAACACCGAUCUCGAGAACGUCGACGGCAACGCCUUCCCGGCCGCCGUCGAGGAGUUCCGGGACAGGGUCCGCGGCGCCGACUGCUUCCUCUUCGCCUCCCCCGAGUACAACUACUCCAUCUCAGGCCCUCUGAAGAACGCGCUGGACUGGGGGUCGCGGCCACCGAACGUGUGGGCGGACAGGGCCGGCGCCAUAGUGAGCGCGUCAGGGAAGUCCGGCGGCAAGAGGUCGGCGUACCACAUCCGGCAGGUCGGGGUCUUCCUCGACAUCCACUUCAUCAACAAGCCGGAGGGGUUCGUCUCGGCGCACCAUCCGCAGAGCAAGUUCAACGGCGACGGCAACCUCAUCGACCCGGAGACUGGGGAGCUGCUGAGGAAGAUCCUUCUUUCCCUCCGGGCGUUCGCGCUCAGGCUCAUCCACGGCAACGACUCUGCUGCAAACUCCGGACAAGGUGCUAAGGUUCAGUGAAAACCAGACUAGCUUCAUCAAUUUGAGACAUCUGAACAUAAACCUUGAGCUCAGGUGGGAUCCAUAUGAUGACAGUUGGGUAAUGGGGUUUCUUAAUCUUUUCAAAUUAGCACCUCUCUUAGAAGAAUUGGAAAUGCAUGUAAGUAAUUUAACUGUUGAUUAUGAACCUUUUUAACACAUUAAUUAGGAUGUUGUGUGUUGCGUCUGUUUGACCCCCUCCCCCUUGAAGAAUAUGUAUAGUGAAAUUAACGGAUAUAUGUGUGAGUUGGGUCGUGAUAAAUUUUGCCCUGCUACUAUGAGGAUGGUGACGGCUGUGCAAGAGCCCCUGCAUCAUCACCUCAAGAGUGUCCACAUGUCUGGGUUUUGUGAUGUCUCGGGGCUGGCCGAGCUGACGCUAUACAUCCUUGGGAAUGCUACUGUAAUCAAGUAUGGAGGUAGAUCUAGUGGCGUAAGCCCACACUCUUCACAACGAUGAUAUAUAUUCAGUCAGCAAGGCUGGUUGUAUCGAGGGGGAUCAUUACCACGUCGAUCAGAAUAGGAUGUUUGCAGAGCAAAUCCUUGGCAGUGAGGAGUUCCGUCAUAUCGUCACCAUCUUGUGAAGUACAAUGCUGGGGCUGGAGCCUGGAGAUGCUAUUUAUAUAUGCCGACGGUUGAUGGAUAUGGGCGUGGUGGAAAAAGGAUCGAUCGGUUGCUUUAUGAAGAUUUAUAAUAAUACUCAGAAGGGAAGCAUUCAUGUACAAGCCGAAUGAUUAAUGCAGUAGUGUGUGCACCAAAAUUCAGUGUUGUCUGCAUUUUUUGUUGUAAUCUGGGUUAACUAUGAUUUCAUCUUUUUUGGCUUUGCUAUUAUGAACAUAAGCAGUUGGUAGCAAUUUCAAGUGCUAUAUAUGUGGUACACUGUCAUUAAUGAAAUCAUGGAAUCAUUCAUCUCA